GAUCUGGCUCAGGAUGAACGCUAGCUACAGGCUUAACACAUGCAAGUCGAGGGGCAGCAUGGUCUUAGCUUGCUAAGACUGAUGGCGACCGGCGCACGGGUGAGUAACACGUAUCCAACCUGCCGUCUACUCUUGGACAGCCUUCUGAAAGGAAGAUUAAUACAAGAUGGCAUCAUGAGUCCGCAUGUUCACAUGAUUAAAGGUAUUCCGGUAGACGAUGGGGA
rnacentral:rRNA from 1 species